rnacentral:lncRNA from 1 species
UCACGCUGUAAAUGGCGUCAAAACAAAAAAUAUUUGCUAGGUAAUGUUCACACAAUGACAACCUUAUUAGGCAUUAUUGAUGAAUGCCAACCACAAAGCAAUGAUGCAAGGAAAUGAUGACAUUCAAAGACAUGAAUUUGAUCAAAAUUUAUUUAAUGUCACGAAAUUUUAAAUGUAAACAGCCUUGUAAUAUUUUUUCCACUGCUGGUAGUCUAGACAAUUAUAAUUGACGUCUGUUGAGGGUAUCUUUUCAAUUAUGAAAGCUCCCUCAUUGACAUAGAAAACGUCAAAUCUGAAUCUGGGUAACUGGUUAAUUAAAACAAAUCCUAUUCCCAGGAAAACUUUACUUUUGUACCCUUUGCCUAUGGCUGAGAUGUCAGUCAUACUCCUCAAUCUAAAGGCCUGUUGGUACGAAGUGUCCCAAUGUGCAGUUUUCCUUUCUGGUGCGUUUUUUCUCAACAUAUUUUCUUCUCUGUGCUUUUAGUUGGUAUGGGCUGGUUAAGAUUGGGAUUGAGGAACAGCAUUAUUAAAUCUGCCUGUUCUGUCAAUGUAUACAUUGACAGAACAGGCAGAUUUAAUACUGGUUACAUACAUUGACAGAACAGGCAGAUUUAAUACUGCUGUUCCUCAAUUCCAAUCUUAACCAGCCCAUAUACGUAAUGUGCCACUGUUUGUAGUUUGGCUUUUGUCUCUUCUGUGUUCUCGCAGUCCAGUCUCGUUAGCAUAGUAGCUAAAUUCAGGUUUCUGACCCCUACCUCUUUGGAUAUUUGGUGUAACAUAUCUGCUCGUUUGUUCUCAUAGCAGGGACACUCCAGAAGGAAAUGGUGAGGCAUUUCAGGUGCUCCACAGUUGCACGACUCUAUGGCGUUGGUUUGGCCUACUCUGUUCUUGAAGUAGUUGAGUUCUGUAUAGCCAGUUCUUAGUUUGGCGAAUAUACUGAAAUGUCUUUUAGUAUAUUGUACUUACGUAGCUGCGGAACCAUAGCUCUUAGGUCCUUGUGAAAUUCUGAUUCAAAGGUCAAUAUUUAGUUUGACUCAACUGGUCUCUUUGUGAUAUCUUGUUUUUACUUAGUCAUUUAUUGUUGGUACUGUAGUUUUUCUCAGUAAUGUCACACAAUUGCACCUAAACAAUUAAACCUAAAGUAUACAAAUUUAGGUACAGGAUUAGAAUUCCUCAGAGCUUAAUGAUUCUCGGAAUCUCCCUGAACUAUUAUAUUCACUGUUCUCUCUUUCUUUGCUGGUGCUUGCAUUUUGUAAUUUCAUUCCUGUAUCAUCUAAUCAGAAGCAUUUCAAGAUUCUAUUUUGAGUACCAUCUUAGGAUAAAUGUAAAAUGUAAACAAAUAAAUAGUUUGCACUCAUUAUAAAAGUCAUAUUAAAAAAUGGAGUUAUCUGCCUUUGUCCAGUAAUUGAACUAAUAUCUUGAUCCAGUAUCUCCAAUUCAUAGUGCUGAAAUCUAUACAAUGUUCAAUUUAAAGUUAAGGGUGUACUUAGGUGACUCAAUUUUAUAUGUGUCAAAUGUUUGGACUCCUUUGAGUUUUUCCAUACGAUACAAGGUAAAAUAUUUUGCCCCAUAACACAUAUUUAUCUUUCAACAUAAGACUUUAAUGCUCAUAAAAUGUCAUUUGACAAAAUUUAAGAUGAUUCUUGAUUUUCUUUCUUUUGAUUUGAGACCCAAUAAUACCUAUGCAAAUAUACAUUAGAAAGGCUCCCCUUUCUAACCACGAAAUUUUAGGUAAAAAAAUUUUUGUAACUGUUAGAAGAGGUCUAAUGAAACUACGGUAAUUUCAAAUCCUGUGCGGUCGUUUGCUGUAUUUUAUUGGAAAAAACCUGUUUUCCAUCAUCUAACAGAAGAUGAAACUGCUGUAAAUGAUUCUAAACCGCUUCAUGAUUGUUAAAAUAAGUUUAAUUCACUUAAAAACAAUUUAGAAACUUGUGUAUUUUUAAACAGGAAAUUUAAAAAACAUAUGUAAAAGAAAUUAACCGGUUAGAGUCGAAAACCAUACUUAACAGAUAUCACUAUAAUACGACUUUGAAAAUAAAACAUUUCCAUCCUUUUGUAAAACAGUCUUUGAUAUAUCUAUCACAUUAAUGUUUGAAGUGUCUUAAGCUAAUACAAACCAUAUUAGUCAGUAUGAAACACCAAAACAGAACGAACAAUAACCGAUUAUGUUUUGUAGUUUACAAAUUCUAAGCUGGUUUACGGUUGUCUUUUGCACUAUGUUUGUAUCGUUUCAAUCAAGCAGAUACCAGUUUAUUUUCCAACCAAUGCAUUGAAAAGAAACGAGAAAUUUGUAAUGAAAGGUUUAGUUUUUAUAUUUAUCAGUAUUAAUUUAAUAUUGAUUAGAAAUAAGUUAUUAAUAUGGAUGAGUUUAAAUUAUUAGUUUGAAAAAUGUUAAGAGCGCCCUCUACAAUAUCUAUAACAAAGAUGGUGGAACGUAAACAAACCACCUUGCCAGGGAAAUUGAAAUUUUUCUCUUAUUUCUUGCUUAUUGUACUCUAUUGUCUGCACCCAGUCUGGAAGGUCCAAUUUUGGAGAAUAAAACCGCAGACUAUACAAGUCUUUCUAUGGUAAGGUAAAAGUCUGAGUCAGACUUUUCCCGCCAUAUUUCAUAAAUUGAAUAUCUCUAAAAAGGAGCUCUGUGACCUAUCAAUAUUUCUAGCUUAUUUUGAUCCUUAACUAAUACUUUUCCAGCUUAUAGUAUCAAUUUUGAAUCCUUGAUUUAUUUUUUGUUUCCUUAGAUCACCUAAGUACGUCCUUAACUAUAGUGUUAGGCAUUUAUCAACUUAAAAUUAUAGUAUGAUUGGUUACUGACCACAUAAAAAAAAAACAGAUUCUAAGAAAAUUUUUAUCAGUUUAGAAAACGUUGAACCAGAAUAUGCAAUCUUAUUAAAAGUAAAUCCUUAUAUUCCAUUCUAAUAAAUCGCUCCUUGAAUUGCCUCCGUUUUGAUAUGCGCAACAUGUCAUUACGAGAAUUCAAGGAUUUGAUUUUAAUUAGAUUGCAGGAAUAUGUGAAAAGCACAAAUUAUGUACCAACAAAGUGCUUUUCUGGAUUUUCAUUCAUUUGAAAUCCUGGAAACAAAAUUGAAAGCAGAUCUAGAGGUUGUAUAAAUACUUGAGAUGCUUUUAUUACAAAAAGGGACCUAACAGAAUAGCAAAAAAACAAUCAUAUCAAUUUUGAAUUAAAAAAAAAUUGAUGAUGAAAUAUAUAAUAUAUGUCCAAUUUUUUUUUUCUUUUUCAGGAAUAAUUAUGAGGCCACCCUUAAAAAAUGUUUGUUUGGCAUUGCCGACCCACACUAUCAGAAGAGUUGGGUAGGAGGUAGGGUUUUUUUUUUUUUUUUUUCAUUUAAAGCUUUAUAAAGGUAAACACAUGGUCUCUAGAUCAAUGUUGUCUAAAGCAUUGCAGCAUGUUGUGUGUACAUGCUGUUGUUCUUUAAAGGGUCAAUAAACCGUCAAUGUCACAUUCUACAUCAUAUGGAUAAUUUCAUGCAAGACAGCAGUUUUAUGGCGAGUUUAACCAAAGUACACAGAAAAAAAACACAGAACUGAGGCAGGAACUGAAAUUAACAAUAAAAUGUAUGACGUGAAAAUUGAACUUUUAUUGUGGGACUGCCAUGAACAGAGGCCAUGUCACAUCUUGAAGUUGUGGUCACAGCACGUGGGUACAGUUUGGUAAAAUUACCAAAUUAAAUGUGUCAACCACUACGCCUCUUUACAAAUGGACAAGAUUAAAACUUUGAUUGUUUGCUUGUUUAUAAACAUCACUUCUACACCAUAUGGGUAAUUCAUGGCAGUCGUUUUAGUGGCGUACUAAACCGUAUACAUGUACUAAAUAAAGCCAACCUGCGGAGAAAUGACUACCUUAUCAAUAAUGACAUGAAAAUCAAACCUAAUUUGCAACUGUCCACUAGGCUCAAACCAAUACCUAGUAAUCUACAUGUAAGCAUAGGUGUGACGAAACCAUACAAACACGCCUACUGCCCCCGAUAAGUUUUGGGAUAAAGGAUUUACCAAAUAGGAUAGCAAAAUAUUAAAAAAUUUGGAAGUUGGCACAAAUAGACAUGGUGUUAUACUUAUAUUACCAAGUGCAAGGUUUUUCAGGGCUAGGUUUAAAAGUAUAUAAAUUCAAAAUGGAAAUAUCGGCAAAGACAAUUUUUGCAGAAAUAAUUAAUAUGGGUUGUAAAGCGUUUGAUUACAGAUUGGACAUGCUUACAUGAAUCACGAUAAAUUAAUGAGCUCUUUUGAAUUUGGAAAGGAGGGGACUUUAUACAUCACUAUACACUCGAUACAUUUUAAAUAUGUUCUGUCAGUUUCUCUUAUGUUUCAAGAUUCAUCUUAUUCAUGUUAAGAGAAGGCAAGAAAAGUGGGAAGUACUUCAAUUGACAAAGAGCUAGUCUUUAAAAUAUGUAUGUUUUGUACCAGGCUAGCAUCUACUGGUACAAACUACUAUAAACCUGUAAACUGACAUUUUGGUCUUUAAGCUUUGAUGCUACAGCCAUAAUUAUCUUGAAUGCAUCAUUGUGUUUGACUAUAGAGAUACUUUGUUCUCUGGUUCAAGGGAAAAUUGCAAUGAAAAUUUCAAUAUUUAAUAAGUUCAACAAAUGUAAAAACACGCAAUUUGUUCUGUGAUGUCCCGGUGAAAAUUCUCAUGAAGCGCAAAGUCGAGCAGAAAUCAUCUUUUCUGCUUACAAAAGAUAAAAUAUAUCUCUACAAGGUUCUCAGAACGUUUCUUUCAAAGAAAAGCGAAAUUGAUUUUUGAUAAAAUCCAUCUCCCUUAACCACUGCAUUGCAGCAUAGGAGAAUGCUUUCCCCUGCCGGCCUUUUGACAUUAUUUUGGCAGACUUUUUCUAUUCAUGUCAUUUAAAUGUUUGCUCCCAAUAUGUGUAAAGGCAAGCGCUUUUAAGAUCGUGACUUGAAAUAAGUAGAGCCGGACAACCGGCGGAUACGACGAAUUCGGCACAAUUUCGAUUUUUUUUUUUUGUAAUAAAAAAAAUAAUUUCUGAAACCAAAUAAAAUUAUUUGGGCGGCAAGUUUUUCAGUGGGUCGGGCGGCAAUGCCAAACAAAUGAAAUUUUAUUUUAGGCCUGAGAUGAUUCCUAUUUAUUUUAAACUGUAACCUAAAACAUUACUAUACAUUGUAUGAUUCAUUCAUAAAAUCUAUAUUUAUAAUAAUUUCUUGUAUCUUUUCAGAUUGGUGUGAAGGAUACAAAAAAUAAAGAUAGAGACAGUUUUAACCAAAUCACAUUUGUAUAUAACAAAAUUGUCAACCAUUAGAUCAACCGGAUAGCAAAUCCUUGUCUAGGUAUAAUUACAUAAUAUUUAUUUUUCAUUGUACUUUUUAUUUUUACAUUGGAUGCCUGUGAGGCCAUACCUGUGUGUUGUUGGCUCUUGCCACAGACAUUUCUACCCACAUAACUUGCGUUUUUGAAUGAUAACCUAACUCAAAAUAACAUUCCUUUUGGCUUGAUAUAUAUUAAUUUCAUCAAUAAAUAUUUAUAUUCAAAGAACAAAGGUAAAUUAUAUGAAAAUGUUUUGUCGUAAGAAAUAUAUAUAUAUAUCAUUAUCAAUAACAAACCAAGAAUACCGUAAACUUGUGUAAUCGCCUACAGAAGAAUAUUUCAAGUUUGUUAUGUGGGAAAUUAUGAAUGCCUAUUCAAACCCAAUCUAUUAGAAAAAUCAAAAUAUUACAGAAGAGUGUCCACCAUGCACUGGCACUGCACUAUAAUUAGAAUAAUAUACAAAUGGAUAAAAAUUAUAUAUACAUGUAACUUUUAUAUAUACAAAUAUUAAUAUAAUAUAUAACAACAAACCAGUGUAUACUGAUUUGUAUAACUACACUGUUAUUACUGUGAGGAUGAAUUCCCUGUUAAUUAUUCAUCACAAACUUGUCUCAGAAAUUUUUUUUCUUUGUACCUUAACCUCACUUUCAGUUUCAGGUAUAGAGGUGUGAUUUUUUUUUCUGUCACAAGUGUUUGUUACCAUCUACAAGAACUUGUGGUCAUCCGAUGCUCAGUACUUUAACUUGGUGUUUAUCUUUUUUUGUCAUUUUUGUUGAUCAACUAGUUUGCAGCCAAUGUAAAUUAAAUCUUGUAUUUAAAUGAAUUAUUAUUUGAAGAACAAUGUACUGCUAUUUUCCACAUAAAAAAAAUGAAACCUUUACAUGCUCAAUUAUAUUCAUAUAUUCAGAUCCAAUUGGUAGUAAGAGGAUAGCUAUACUGCGCAAACAGUGACAAGUUAUUAAAUGGACUUCCAGAUUUGAGUUCUUUCACCAGGGGCGCAGAUGAAGAUUGAAAAAAGUCAAAUGUAAGAUACAUGUAAUAAGACAAUUGAACAUAAUUCAUAACUUUUUCGGUGACAAUUUAGAAAGCAAUAUAUUUGUAGAAAGAACAAUCGCCACAACAAUGAUACAUAACAAUAAUAGCCAAAUG